UACGUAGGGGGCUAGCGUUGUCCGGAUUUAUUGGGCGUAAAGAGCGUGUAGGCGGCCAUGUAGGUCCGGUGUGAAAACUCGAGGCUUAACCUCGAGAUGUCAUCGGAAACCAUUUGGCUAGAGUCCGGAAGAGGAGAGUGGAAUUCCUGGUGUAGCGGUGAAAUGCGCAGAUAUCAGGAAGAACACCAAUGGCGAAAGCAGCUCUCUGGGACGGUACUGACACUGAGACGCGAAAGCGUGGGGAGCGAACAGG
rnacentral:rRNA from 1 species